rnacentral:rRNA from 1 species
GAGGAAUAUUGGUCAAUGGACGCAAGUCUGAACCAGCCAUGUCGCGUGAAGGAAGACUGCCCUAUGGGUUGUAAACUUCUUUUGUAUGGGAAGAAAUAUAGCUACG